rnacentral:rRNA from 1 species
UACAGGAUUCCCCUAGUAACGGCGAGUGAAGCGGGAAGAGCUCAAGCUUAAAAUCUCUGUGCAGGUUCUGCAUGGCGAAUUGUAGUCUAUGGAUGCGUUAUCAGUGUGGCCAUUCGGGGUAAGUUCCUUGGAAGAGGACAGCAAUGAGGGUGAUACUCCCGUUUGUACCUGAGUGUGUUGCGCGUACGAUGCGUUUUCUUUGAGUCGCGUUGUUUGGGAAUGCAGCGCAAAGUAGGUGGUAAAUUCCAUCUAAAGCUAAAUAUUGGUGCGAGACCGAUAGCGAACAAGUACCGUGAGGGAAAGAUGAAAAGAACUUUGAAAAGAGAGUUAAAGAGUACCUGAAACUGCUGAAAGGGAACCGGGUCGUUGCCAGUGUCUAUAAUCCGCGGCAUAUUUCAUUGCCGGGCUUGUUUGUUGCGCGAGUGUGUAGCAGUUUGUUCUGUGCUGCUUGUGCAUGUGAGCGAGUCUGGUGGUGCCCUGUGUCGUGGUGGGACGUCAGAGUCAGUUCGUAUGCUGCGGGAAAUGGUCGUGCAGGAGGUAGGUCAGGAGCUUGCUUUUGGCUGUUAUAUCUGUGCGUGCUAGUUGUCGUGGUUGGGACUGAGGUGCCUACAACGUGCUUUUGAGUCUUUGGGUCGCUCUGUGUGCGUAUCGGUUGGAUAGCUUGCUAUGCUGCUGGUAUUUGCGUGCGGAUGGUGUGCUCAUUGCAACUUGUUGCCGUUCGGGACUUUGACGAAAUGGCGCGAUCCGACCCGUCUUGAAACACGGACCAAGGAGUCUAACAUGUGUGCAAGUGUUAGGGUGUGGAAACCCAAGCGCGAAAUGAAAGUAAAGGACAGCGUUGGUUGUCUGAGGUAGGAAACCUUUGCUCGUCAGGGGUGGCACUAUCGACCGAUCAUGAACCUUCSUGGUGAAAGAUUUGAGUAUGAGCACAUAUGUUGGUACCCGAAAGAUGGUGAACUAUGCCUGAAUAGGGWGCMAGSCAGGGGAAACUCUGGUGGAAGCUCGUAGCGAUUCUGACGUGCAAAUCGAUCGUCAAACUUGGGUAUAGGGGCGAAAGACUAAUCGAACCAUCUAGUAGCUGGUUCCCUCCGAAAUUUCCCUCAGGAUAGCAGCAACUUAUUUACGAUAGUUUUAUGAGGUAAAGCGAAUGAUUAGAGGACUCGGGGAAGAAACUUCCUUGAC